CUCUCAGCAAGCUCUGAAAUGGCUCCUGCUGUGAUUGUCUUCUUCAGCCUGGAGACUGCCGAGGCUGCUGCUGGCCCAGGUUUGGUGAGCAUGUCCUCACUGCUCGCCCGCUUCAGCUGCGACACAGAGGGUGGAACAGGUUUUUGUGAGGUGGGUAAAGGGAUAAAGCACUGUUCCAACAAUGAAGAAUGAAAAUGGGAAAGACUGUUCAAAAUGGCAAAUAAUUGAAAGGCAAGGAGAAAACAGUUUACAGGGCUACUCUGGCAACUCUUUGGGAAGUAAUCUCUGGUGACACAAGUCUACUCAAGAAGCCCAUGGAACACAAGCCCAAGAGUCUGUGGUUUCCUGGACCCUGUGAGCCCAUAAGUUCCAAUAACUGAAGUGUUGAUGAUGCUCCAGGAUACCAAACAACGAACGUUUUGCCUUCUGGCAGAGGUUUUGUCAGCUCACUCUGAGGAGGAGAAUGGAACAACCUGACUUUCUGACCUUCAGAGAGUUCUGCAGUCUCUCUGAAGUAAUUUCUUCAAUGUGUUCUUUCCUAUAGCAGCAAGUCUACUCUCUUUCUACUUCUUUUCUUCAAGGAAGCCACUUUGAUGAUUUUUGCAUUUGCAGCUGGACACAAUUUGAAGGCAUUAGCUGUCAUUAGGAAGAAAUCUCUCCACAAUUAACACUAAAUUUAACAAAUCAAUCAUAUCAGAUUUCCUGAUUAGUGUCCUCAGUAGCACUCCUUCAGAGAUGCUGCCUCAACCACACAGCACAACCUGCCUGGAGCACUGAA